UAUGCUAAUACGGGAUAAUAUAUUUGAGAGGCAUCUCUUGAAUAUCAAAGGUGAGCCAGUACAGGAUGGACCCGCGUCUGAUUAGCUAGUUGGUAAGGUAACGGCUUACCAAGGCGACGAUCAGUAGCCGACCUGAGAGGGUGAUCGGCCACAUUGGAACUGAGACACGGUCCAAACUCCUACGGGAGGCAGCAGUGGGGAAUAUUGCACAAUGGGCGAAAGCCUGAUGCAGCAACGCCGCGUGAGUGAUGAAGGCCUUCGGGUCGUAGAACUCUGUCCUCAAGGAAGAUAAUGACGGUACUUGAGGAGGAAGCCCCGGCUAACUACGUGCCAGCAGCCGCGGUAAUACGUAGGGGGCUAGCGUUAUCCGGAUUUACUGGGCGUAAAGGGUGCGUAGGCGGUCUUUCAAGUCAGGAGUGAAAGGCUACGGCUCAACCGUAGUAAGCUCUUGAAACUGGGAGACUUGAGUGCAGGAGAGGAGAGUGGAAUUCCUAGUGUAGCGGUGAAAUGCGUAGAUAUUAGGAGGAACACCAGUUGCGAAGGCGGCUCUCUGGACUGUAACUGACGCUGAGGCACGAAAGCGUGGGGAGCAAACAGGAUUAGAUACCCUGGUAGUCCACGCUGUAAACGA
rnacentral:rRNA from 1 species